rnacentral:lncRNA from 1 species
AUGAUGGGAAAAAAGAAAUUUUACCAGCAAAUUAUGGAAGAUGAGUGCCUUUUCCAGAAGUUCAAAGUAACUGACCAUGUAGAUACUGUCACCACACAAGAUUACAUGCAAUAUUCCAGUCUUCUGGAUAAGAUCCCCGCAUCUUCUGGUGGCAAGAAUAACCUCUGGCUAAAAUUAAACCUCAAAAACAUUCCCAGGACAAUGAUGAUGUAUGACAUCAUUAAUUAUGCAGAAUCUCGAGUAAUGUCUGCCCGUUUACAAAAAGAAAUGAAGUAUCUGUUACAGACACCACGAACGGAAGAGAUUCAGCACCAGCUACAGAUUGUUUCUGAAGUUAGGUUUCCAUCCUUAGUGAGCCUCCAACCUUUGUAUGGGCCCUACCAACAGCAAAGUAAAAUGAGACAUUUGGGGCAUCUAUCCAAGCAAGCACAAAUGAAAGUUGAAAAAAUGAGACAAGCUCAUAUGACACCUAAGAAAAAAGAUGCUUCUGAGGUAAAUCAACCGCAAACAGCCACACAGCCUAAAAGGGUACAAGAGACGAUUGUCUUCUCCAGCCCAUCUUUUGACAUUGUGAAAUUUAAAGAAUGCACCUCAGGUAGUGAAUUGGGAGAAGAUGAAGACGAAAAGGAAGUAUUUGCCUGGUAUCAACAGUUGUAUCUUCAGUAUUUUCCAUGAUGUCAAUACACAGCUAAUUGACAGGUUGCUUGUCUGUCUA